rnacentral:sRNA from 1 species
AGGAAGUACACCUCUCCCUUGGAUACUGGAAGGGAAGGCGUUACUGAUGAAAACUCCAAAGAAGGAAGAGGAACCGUGGAGCAUGCAACACAUCCCGGCACUGUUUUCAGCCUUCUGUGGCCUCUUGGUCGCCCUUUCCUACCAUCUGAGCCGGCAGAGCAGUGACCCAUCUGUACUCAUGUCCUUCAUCCAAUGCAGGCUGUUUCCUAAAUUUUUACAUCAAAAUCUGGAAGAGUCAGCUGCUGACCCUCUCCCCAAGAAGAUGAAAGAUUCAGUGAUGGAUGUCUUAAAAUGGGAUCUCAUCGUCUGCGCAGUGGUUGCUGUCCUCUCAUUUGCAGUCAGCGCCAGCACUGUAUUCCUGUCAUUGCGACCAUUUCUCAGCAUCGUGCUGUUUGCCUUGGCUGGAGCCGUGGGGUUUGUAACACAUUACGUGCUCCCUCAGCUCCGCAAGCAUCAUCCCUGGAUGUGGAUUUCACACCCCAUUCUCAAAAACAAAGAGUAUCAUCAACGGGAAGUGAGAGAUGUCGCCCAUUUAAUGUGGUUCGAAAGAC